GGCUCCUUGUAUUAUAAAAAUAAGGAGUCGGACCUGCCCAGUGAAAAUUUUUUAACGGCCGCGGUACUCUGACCGUGCAAAGGUAGCAUAAUCAUUUGCCUUAUAAUUGAAGGCUCGUAUGAAUGGUUUGACAAGAAUGAAGCUGUCUCUUUAUAAUUAACUAGAAUUUUAUUUAUAGGUGAAGAAGCCUAUAUAACAUUGAAAGACAAGAAGACCCUAUCGAGCUUUAAAUAAAUUAAUAAAUUAAAAAAUUCAUAUUAAAAUAUAAAUUUCGUUAUUAAAUCAUUUUAGUUGGGGCGACUGAGGAACAAAUAAAGCUUCCUAUAAAUAUAUAAAUACAUUCAAGUAUUGAUCCAAAAGUUUUGAUUAAAGGAAUUAGUUACCGUAGGGAUAACAGCAUUAUCUUUUUUGAGAGCUCUAAUCGAAAAAAAGGUUUGUGACCUCGAUGUUGGACCAGAAUAUCCUAAAGAUGCAGCCGUCUUUAAGGGUUGGUCUGUUCGACCAUUAAAAUUCUACGUGAUCUGAGUUCAGACCGGCGUGAGCCAGGUCAGUUUCUAUCUUCAAUUUUUGUAGUGAACUUAGUACGAAAGGACCAGUUUACUGUAAUAUAUUUACUUCAUCUGAUAGAGUAUAAAGUACUAUUAAGUUAAUAAUAAAUUAUAGAAUUAAGAAUCAAAUUAGCAAAGAUUUAAUGCAAUUGACUUAGGAUCAAUAGACAUAGGUGAAAUCCCUUUAUUUGAUAAAUAAAGGUGGCAGAUGAA
rnacentral:rRNA from 2 species